rnacentral:rRNA from 2 species
UCGCCGCCCGCGACUCGGCGAAAAGUCCAUUGAACCUUAUCAUUUAGAGGAAGGAGAAGUCGUAACAAGGUUUCCGUAGGUGAACCUGCGGAAGGAUCAUUG